rnacentral:lncRNA from 1 species
CAAAACUAUCUGUGAAUUCCUUCUUCUCCUUAGCCUGCAAGCAUGCUAAAGACCCAACCAGACCGAACCAGCUAACCAACCAGCCAACCAGCCAACCAGCCAACCAGCCAACCAGCCAACCAGCCAACCAGCCAACCAACCAGCAAAAAGCCCCACCAAAGCAAAAGAAAGAAAGAAAUUUAUUUGUUUGUUUUUAUUUAUAUGAGCACACUGCCGCUGUCUUCAGACACACCACAAGAGAGCAUCGGAUCCCACUACAGAUAGUUGUGAGCUACCAUGUGUUCGCUGGGAAUUGAACUCAAGACUUCUGGAAGAGCACCCAGUACUCUUAACCAUUGAGCCAUCUCUGCAGCCCCACCCUGACCCCCACUUCAUGUAUUUUAUCCAUUCAUCCAUUGUUGUUUUGGAUGGAUUCCCAAAGGAUCAGGUGCUAAGAGUUUGGUCCCUGGUGUGAUGAUGGGGAGAGAGGAUGGGGCCUUCAGAGCUGAUUAUAUCUUGAAGGUGAUUAAUACUUUUAUCCAAGGUCAUAUUCUUCUUCUUGUGAGAAGUUACAUAGGAGCUGGCUCUUAGAGACAAGUCAUCCCAUGUGCUUGGCCCAUUUUAUAUGCUCCUUGGUUUAUCAUAUGCUUUUCUUUCAAGUGGUCACACAGUGUGUGUCGUGUGUGUGUGUGUGUGUGUGUGUGUGUGUGUGUGUGUGUGCUGGAACCAUGCUUUUUGGAUCUUCCAGUCACUAGAAUCAUGAGUCAAAUACAUUUAUUUUAUGUAUAAGGCAUCCAGACCAGAGGCAUUUUGUUAUAGCAACAGAGAAGGGACUAAUACAGUCCACUGAUGGACAACUGAGUUGCAUCUAUCAUUUGGCUGUUAUGACUCAUGUUUGGAACGUGGAUAUAAAUAUAUCACUUCCCUCUGCUUUCAAUUGUCUGGAGAAUAUUCCCCAAAAGGAAUCCCUGAGUCAUACGGUCAUUCGGUCAUUCUGGGUGAACAUUUUUUUUUGGAACCUCCAUAUUGUCUCCACAGCUUCUGUACUAUUUUACAUUUCCACCAAAAGUGUUCAAGGAUUCAGAGCUUUCCAGAUCUUCCUAAUGUUUGAUUCUUGUCAUUGCUGACCAUUGUCUUAAUUGUGGCUUUGUUGCUGUGAUAAAACACUCUGAGCAGAAGCAACUUGUGUAUGAAAAGGUUCAUUUCAUCGUAUAGCUUGUAGUCUAUCAUCCAGGGAAGUCCGGCAGGUUCUCAAGGCAGGAGCCAAGAGGCAGGAAUGGAAGCAGAGGCCAUGGAGGAGUUGGCUUGUUCAGCUGGCUUUCUUGUAGCACGUGUGAUGACUAACACUGUUUUAAGUCUAAAUUACUGUGCUUAAGCGAUCUAUGAAACAAAAAUGCCCUCUAACCUGUAAGCUCCACUUUCCUCCCAAAAGGUCGCUUCCCGGAGCACUGGGGGCUGUGUUUUGUUUUGUUUUGCUUAUAAUUGCUUGGUUCUGUAUAAUUUUAAUGAAACUGUUGUUCAUGUAAGAUAACAAACCAAGUGUUUUCACCUCCGUGAAGUGAAAGAAGUCAAGAAGUAUGUAGCCUUGUGAGUUUUGCCUUUAGAAGUUCCUAACUGAUGCAAUUUGGGGCAACAUCUUGGGAAUCCUGAAUUUAGGGUGUAGGCCUGGUAACAGUCUCAAAAUAAAGCUCUUCUUUUUUCUAAAAUGUAUUCAUGGUUGGUGAAUCUCUGAAGCACCCCAGGCCCAUAGCACUCUCAAGACCCAAGAGUAGCAUCAGUCAC